CGCGUAGGUGGCCUUCUAAGUCGAACGUGAAAUCCCCGGGCUCAACCCGGGAACUGCGUCCGAUACUGGAAGGCUUGAAUCCGGGAGAGGGAUGCGGAAUUCCAGGUGUAGCGGUGAAAUGCGUAGAUAUCUGGAGGAACACCGGUGGCGAAGGCGGCAUCCUGGACCGGCAUUGACGCUGAGGCGCGAAAGCCAGGGGAGCAAACG
rnacentral:rRNA from 1 species